CCAGAGGGGUCAGGGGAGCUAGUGUCAGAUUGGGAGCUGCCAAAGUCUCCUGACUUUUUGAGUAGGACCUGUGGAGGCGAUACAGGAGACCAUGGGCGGAAAGCAGAGGGCCUCUGUUUCAGCUGGACCUGUUUCAGAUCCUGGAACAACAAACAAAACAACAAGCUUGGAUAAACUCACAGGCUUUGAGCUGAGCUGAGCAGACACUCAAGCUGGUCUGGCUGGCAGCCAGUAGGGCUACAUUGCUCCCUGCCAGGCAGAAGAGGCGCCGUCAGGUGGAGCAGAUCGACUCCCCGAACCACAGAAAUAUUGCAAUAUAGAGACAGAGGCAGACAGCGAAGGAGACAAAUUAAAGUAAUUGCACUCAGAUCUGACAGACGAUUGAGGUGAAGUGUUCCGAAAGAGUUGCAUAUUAACACACGGCUACAGAGUCAUGCAACAUUUAAGAGAGACUGAACUUGGAGAACCUGCAGCCUGCAGUCUUGUUAAGUGCCACAAAAUACUGAAUCUAUAUUGUAUGUCUGUGUGUGUGUGGCGAGCUGCGAGACUAUGUGUUGAGAUAGCUAACCUCCUCAGCUAUCUCCAGCUAUCUCAGACAGAGGAUAUGUUUACCGAGGCAGGCGCAGAGGCCAGCACAGACCUGCCUGCUGCUCUCUUACUCACUACUAUGACAUUCUGCCUCCAGGAAAGACAAACACUCCCAUCCUCUCGUCUGCAUGUGCGAUUCAAGACAAAUGAUUACUCUGUCUUCCCUCAAAAUCCUCAAUGGAAAUCACUCCUGCGGGGUUGCGUGUAGUUGUGAAACCUUAAUUGUUGCUCGCUGUAAUCACCUCAAGAUGGAAAUUAAUGACAAACCUCAUUUAGCAUUAAGCGAGAAACCCUGCUUGUAAUGAAUCACGUCUCACAGUUUUUCCAUACGAAACCAGACGCUCUGUAUAUGUGUGUGUGUGUGUGUGUGCAUGUAAAUGCAGCUGUGAGUAGGUCGGAACACGUGUGGAGGUUGGUGGGUGCGAGUGUAGACAUGCAUAUGUGCGUGUGGGAGGGUAUGCGUGUGUAGGAGUGUGUGUGUGUGUCUGGUACAGUUUGCUCAAGGGUGGAGGUGUUAGUCAGGUCUGGCACCGCAUACCUGAACAACAGAUACUGAAGUCUGAUGUAACACUGAAACAAAAUUAUUCAACUGAGAGAAAAAUAAUUGAUAAGAGUUUUAAUAAAUGUUUCAAUUUAAGUUAUUUAUGAAGCGAAAACUUAUAACUAUAUGCUGUUUCACGCUUCUCAAAAGUUAGGAUUUGCUGUUUGUUUCUGUUUUAUAUCAUAUGAAAUGAAAUAUCCUUGGGUUUUAGGCGAUUGGUAAAACAUCACCUUUUGCUCUCAGAAAUGGUGAUUAGCAUUUUUAAAACUAUUUUUUGAUAUUUUAUAGACUAAUCUAUAUCUAUAUAUACCUCCAGACCCCUCAGAUCUACUGUCCAAUCACUGCUCUUCAUUCCACAUUUUCAAGAUACUCAGAGACGUGUUGCGCUCUCUUUGAAUAAAAGCAUUUUCCAUUGUUGCCCUUAAACAUUCAAACAUCUUCCCUCCUCUACUAGCAUCUUUAAAACAUGUCUCAAGACUCAUCUCUUUUCUUUGGUUAUAUUUUGAUAGUCAUUAUGAAAGCAUAAUUGAUCUGGGUUGUUUUUGUAUUAUUUAUUAAUUCUCUGUGCAGUAAGCCUAUAAUGUUUUAGA